GCCUGAAUAUAGCUCAGUUGGUAGAGCACAAGGCUCUUAAUCUCUGGGUUGUGGGUUCUAGCCCCACGUUCUGCA